rnacentral:rRNA from 1 species
UUCCGUGCCAGCAGCCGCGGUAAUACGGGAGGGGUGCGAGCGUUAAUCGGAAUUACUGGGCGUAAAGCGCAUGCAGGCGGCCUGUUAAGUCAGAUGUGAAAGACCCGGGGCGUUAACCUACGGUAAUUGCAUUUGUAAACUAGGCGAGGCUAGAGUCUUGUAGAGGGGGGUAGGAAUUUCAGGUGUAGCGGUGAAAUGCGUAGAGAUCUGAAGGAAUACCAGUGGCGAAGGCGGCCCCCUCGGACAAAGACUGACGCUCAGAUGCGAAAGCGUGGGGAGCAAACAGGAUUAGAUACCCUGGUAG